GCCUGAGCGUCAGUAGUCGGUCCAGGAUGCCGCCUUCGCCACCGGUGUUCCUCCAGAUAUCUACGCAUUUCACCGCUACACCUGGAAUUCCACAUCCCUCUCCCGCACUCAAGCCCUCUAGUAUCAGACGCAGUUCCCAGGUUAAGCCUGGGGAUUUCACGUCUGACUGAGAAGGCCGCCUACGCGCCCUUUACGCCCAGUAAUUCCGAAU
rnacentral:rRNA from 1 species